ACGCUGGCGGCGUGCCUAACACAUGCAAGUCGAACGGACGAGGGGAGCUUGCUCCCCAAGUUAGUGGCGGACGGGUGAGUAACACGUGAGCAACCUGCCCUUCGGAGGGGGACAACAGCUGGAAACGGCUGCUAAUACCGCAUGACACAGCGGGGAGGCAUCUCCCUGCUGUCAAAGAUUUUAUCGCCGAAGGAUGGGCUCGCGUCUGAUUAGAUAGUUGGUGAGGUAACGGCCCACCAAGUCAACGAUCAGUAGCCGGACUGAGAGGUUGAACGGCCACAUUGGGACUGAGAUACGGCCCAGACUCCUACGGGAGGCAGCAGUGGGGAAUAUUGGGCAAUGGGGGGCAACCCUGACCCAGCAACGCCGCGUGAAGGAAGAAGGCUUUCGGGUUGUAAACUUCUUUGACGAGGGACGGUAGUGACGGUACCUCGAAAACAAGCCACGGCUAACUACGUGCCAGCCGCUGC
rnacentral:rRNA from 1 species